UACAGAGGUCUCAAGCGUUGUUCGGAUUCAUUGGGCGUAAAGGGUGCGUAGGCGGCGUGGUAAGUCGGGAUGUGAAAUCUCGGGAGCUUAACUCCGAAACUGCAUUCGAUACUGCCGUGCUUGAGGACUGGAGAGGAGACUGGAAUUUACGGUGUAGCGGUGAAAUGCGUAGAUAUCGUAAGGAAGACCAGUGGCGAAGGCGGGUCUCUGGACAGUUCCUGACGCUGAGGCACGAAGGUCAGGGGAGCAAACGGG
rnacentral:rRNA from 1 species